AGGGACCCGUCAAGCACCUUCUUUUCUUUUCCUUGCUGUCGGCUGAAACAAGGGAGGGAGAGGGUGGCCACGGCACCAAGGGAAGAGAGGAAUCCAAUACCUAGGGCGCCGGCCCCUAGUCCUCUUCUUAAAGGGAUUGGAGCUCCUAACAUUUAGGAGUUCCAUGACAACUUACCUAAGAAGGGGCGCCGGCCCUAGCUCCUCAUGUCGCCCUAGCCAAGUGGAGAGGGGCUGAUGUCCCUCUUACUUGGUUAACCUAAUCCUCUUCCAAAGAGGAUUAGGUGCCUCUCUCAUGGUUUAAUCCUAAUCUAAUUAGGAUUAGCCAAUUUUGGGUUCAAUCUAUA
rnacentral:lncRNA from 1 species